ACCUUGGUUUCCCUUCAGCCGGGGCGAUGUCGGUUGCCGAGGCUUCUUCAUCGGGCCUGUUGGAGGAGGAGCCCUGCCUGCUGCCUCCGGAGCCGUCAGCCGAGAGGGUGGCCGCUCGGAUACGGGCCGUGGCUCGGUUCCUGCGCCGGGCCCUGCCGCUGUGCCUGGCUCACACGGUGGACUUUUACACGCGAGGCCUGUGGGAGAAGAUGGUGGCGCUUCCCCCGGAGACGGUGCUGGAGGCGCUGAGUGGAGACAGGCUUCGGAGGCUCCUGGAAGAGGCGCCGGAGCAGCGCCCUCUGGAGGAGCCCGCCGGUUGCGCUGCUGUAACCUCCAAUCCAAGUCAUGCAUGAAAUUAGUUGCUGUCAUUCUAAAACCAGAACCUGAGAGAGCUCUACUUGAGACUUUAACAAUAUAGAUGGACUGACAAAGCUCUGUGAAAUACUGAUACAUCUUGACUGCAAACUGCAGGUGCUCAGGCUCAAUUCAUGUGAACUAACCAAAGCAUGUUGUGAAGAUCUUUUUGAAGUUCUCAAAAAGAGUAAGUCUUUGUAAGAACUAGACCCAAGCAACAAUGAGGAUCUAAAGACAAACCUAGAAGCUGAUAAACGAAGCCAGAUUAGAAAACUGAAGCGGUGCAAUUUUAGAAUACAAAUAUGGCUAUAGAAGAGCAAUGUGGGGAAAUGGGUAUGUAUUUUUCUCAGUUAAACUAACUACUUUGCUGUCUUUCUGUUAAAAUGAUAGAAUUGGAUAUUUGCCCUAGUUUUUGAUCUAUCAAACUGUGCGAAGGAUUAAAUUUGGAGAUGCAACUGCUCCAAAGCUGUUCCAUAAGACACCAUGACUGAAGAUUUGAACCUAAUUUAUCUCUACUAAUCAGAUACUCUUGUAUACCAUGAGGGCUGAAUGAACUGAAUUUGGGUCGUAAUACUAUUUUUAGUUACUCAUCCCUGAAAAUUAAACUGGACAAAAGGCUCUUGUUCUCUUCCUCUCACAAAUAAAGACAAAACAUCAUAGAAAACCUUAAGAGUUUCAAAUAGAAAAAACUUUAUUAACAUUAUAAGGUGAAACCAGUUGUACAUGUUUAAAAUAUCAAACAGCUCUGAAAUAUAUCCAGGUUUGGACUUUUCACAACACCAAAUAACCUCCUGACAUUAGAUGGAUUGUAAUAUUGGUGCAUGACACCUUGGGUCAGUUGAUUUCCUAGGAGAAGACAACACAAUAUUACUAGCAUUAGGAAUUAUUUAUCUAAGAUGCAUGCUGUAUUGUUUCAGAGCUCUUAAAAGGAGGCGGCACAAAUUUGAAAGGAAGAAUUAACUCUCUUUUCCCCAACCAGUUUAGAAAAAAAGUUUGUCCUUUCUCCCUCAAGUCAGUUUGACACAGAAGGCUGCAAUGACAACCAAGACUGAAGUCACAAAGAAUAUGCAGGUUUGACUGAAAAUGUUAGAGAAUCAUUGCUAGAAGCAAAGGAGAAUAUCUGUGCCGAUUGAAUUUAACAGAUUUGGUCUGUAGGAGAAACAGCCUUAAUGAAUUGUACUCUUUUCAUAUGUCCUGGAGUCAGGUGUAUGAGAUGAAAACACAAUGUAACAAUUCUUGCAAUGCAUUCAGAUUUGGUUAUUUUAAAAUUUAUAUAUUGUAAUUUUAUAUUGCAUUUAAUUGCUUUUUAACUGAUUUUAUGUACUGUUGAUUGAUUUUGUAUAGGCAUCUAAUUGUGCCAGGGUUGUAAGCCACCCUGAGUCCCUUCGGGUGAAAAGGGCGGGAUAUAAAUAUUGGAAAUAAAAUAAAUAAAUAAAUAUCAAA